UACGGGGGGGGCAAGCGUUGUUCGGAAUUACUGGGCGUAAAGCGCACGUAGGCGGAUACUUAAGUUAGGGGUGAAAUCCCAGAGCUCAACUCUGGAACUGCCUCUAAUACUGGGUAUCUCGAGUUCGAGAGAGGUGAGUGGAAUUCCGAGUGUAGAGGUGAAAUUCGUAGAUAUUCGGAGGAACACCAGUGGCGAAGGCGGCUCACUGGCUCGAUACUGACGCUGAGGUGCGAAAGCGUGGGGAGCAAACAGG
rnacentral:rRNA from 1 species